CGGUCACCCGGGGCGGAUCAGAGCUCCUGGUAGGGAGCGCGGCGCUGGCAGUGAGUCUUCAAGUGACGGAUUUCCGAACGCCCACGGGUGUGGUUGGGAAAGCCCCGCCGGUUUCUAGGCAGAGAUCCCUCCAAGGCAGGCCUGUGACCUUAAGCUAGCUGAUUUUGUCUCUAAUUCUCCACAUACCUGUUUGCCAGUGACCCGGGCUUCCUCUGCCAUUGUCUUCGGAGUCUCUUGGGUGUCGACACAGCCAGGUUGCCUUUUGCACAGCGACUAGUGAACGAAAUGCAAUCAAAAGGGAUUAGAUGACCCGAGGCCAUGCAAAAUGUGCCAGUCAGGGAGAACCGGCCCAAGGAGCAGGACUUAGCUGGGAGAGGAGAGCUAAAAUUCAACUGUCCUGUUACAGCAAUAGGCAGCGGAUGUGCAUGUGCAGGCUAUAAUCUCAGUGUUACAAAGUUGCAUUUAUAUUUAGAGUUAUUAUGUUGGGUUUUUGCAGGUUUUGAAACUAGAGUCCAAUUUGUUGAGAUGUCAAAAGCAACUAAAUUUAACAUAUCCUGGAUCCUGUUUUCCAUCAGGUGGAUAGGCUUCCUCAUUUUACAUUUUCAGUGUUUUCUUAGUCAUUCUUGCGUAUUCAUUUUUCAUUCAGACUUUACUAUCAAUUUAUGUCAUUUAGAAAUAUCAUUUAACAAGGGGUAUCAUUUGUAAAUAAAAACGUAGUUGCCCAUCUGUUAAGGCACCUUUGUGGCUUUGAGAGAUUAGAUGGAUAGAUAAACAGCUUGGUGGAACAGGAUCAAGGAAGGACAUGAUAUAUUAUUAGCAGUAUUUGCUUGGCCUUAGCCUUGCAUGCUCUCUGGAAUCCUGUCAGAACGCCACGUCGCCUGAGAAGCUGUAAAUGGCACCCACAGUGCUGUUGAUAGUGGUAGGUGUGCCUUCCUGGAGCAAGACUAACAACACGGGUGUGUUCUCUAGUUUUCAUACUUCCAGCUUGGAAAGUACCGAGUCUUAAGUGAAGAAUUCAGAGCCUGCCCACAAUGGGGUUGCCCAGAAUCUCUUGACCUUUACGUGUGCAAGUCCCUGGGGUAGAAGCAUUCUCUUAGAAAGAAAUUGGCGGCUACAGCAGUCAAUAAAGAGCAUAUUGUCCAGAA
ensembl:lincRNA Gm37748 predicted gene, 37748